rnacentral:tRNA from 1 species
CGCGGGGUGGAGCAGUGGCAGCUCGUUGGGCUCAUAACCCAAAGGUCACAGGUUCGAGUCCUGUCCCCGCUAC